GUUUAACAGGAUUCACCUUGACCAUCAAAUGGAUUUAGGCUGUUGUGUAGGAACUUCCAGCUUAAUCUUCUGAUUUAAAUGAUCCUCACUACCACACAGAAGUUGUCUGUUGUACCAAUAGUUUUUCUUGUUAUCCCUGUGGAGUCCUGAUAGAGGAACACGCCUGCAUUCUUGAAAUUAAUUCAUUUCUUUUUUACUCAGUGUCAGUGUAUUUGUCAUUUAAUAAAGGUGAAUUAGACCAGAGGAGCCAUUUUGUCGCCUCCUAACAUCACUGAAGCUGAGUUUACAGUCCGGUGGAGAAGCCGUGGGAGCAAGGAUUCACAGAGCACGUGAUACCAGUCCCCAUGCAGAAAAUCAAGGCAAAGGACACUCUGACAACUGCAACUUUAAAUAAAGUAAAAAACACAGAGAUUCUGCUAAAACAAAUUCAAGAAUACAGUCUUUGAUAACUAUGUGCUCUUGGAGAAAGCACCAAGAUCAAAUCAGUGAGAUAAAGGAUAUUGAAGCAUAGGAAAAAAAUACCAUAGCCAUAAAGCAAGCUCCCAGGCAGACUUGACCUUCACAGAUGUAUGCUGAACCUCCUGCUGGUUGCUGGACACAUUAGAAAUGACCCUCAGCUGAUUUCACA
rnacentral:lncRNA from 1 species